rnacentral:rRNA from 1 species
GAUGAACGCUGGUGGCGUGCCUAAUACAUGCAAGUCGAGCGAACAGACGAGGAGCUUGCUCCUCUGACGUUAGCGGCGGACGGGUGAGUAACACGUGGAUAACCUACCUAUAAGACUGGGAUAACUUCGGGAAACCGGAGCUAAUACCGGAUAAUAUAUUGAACCGCAUGGUUCAAUAGUGAAAGACGGUUUUGCUGUCACUUAUAGAUGGAUCCGCGCCGCAUUAGCUAGUUGGUAAGGUAACGGCUUACCAAGGCGACGAUGCGUAGCCGACCUGAGAGGGUGAUCGGCCACACUGGAACUGAGACACGGUCCAGAGUCCUACGGGAGGCAGCAGUAGGGAAUCUUCCGCAAUGGGCGAAAGCCUGACGGAGCAACGCCGCGUGAGUGAUGAAGGUCUUCGGAUCGUAAAACUCUGUUAUUAGGGAAGAACAAAUGUGUAAGUAACUAUGCACGUCUUGACGGUACCUAAUCAGAAAGCCACGGCUAACUACGUG